AUGCUGUGUGUUGGUGCCUUGAGAUGCAUCCACCCACUCCCAACUGUUGGCCAUGGCCAAGCCUUGGUGGUGAAGCAUCCGGUGGGGUCACAACGCUGCUCUGUUUUGGUGACGUUGAUGAUGCUCAGCAAUGGUUCUGAUGGGCAUCCUCGUGUUCUGACCCCAGAGCUCGUGGCUGAGGGACGUGCAGACUGUGCUGAACCACGUCUCCAUUGGCUUUAUCCAAGGAGAGCUGAUAGCCUCGAAGCCUCUUGCCACUGCUCCUGUAGGGAUGCAGGAGCUCUGCUGGGCUGCCAAGCCUACUGCCACUGGCAAGAAGGAGAAGUGAGUCACACCACCCUGGACAGCUGUCCUGGCACAGCUGAGUCACCUCCAGGAGGUGGCCAUGGCUCUCCACCAGCCAGCCCUGCUCAAGCAUUGCCCUGAUGCUGGAUUCAAGAUGCAUCUCAUUCCCUAGAGCAGGAUGUCAGUUCAUUCGGGGACUUCUCUUCCUGGUGAUGGAGAUCCUGCCGUGGUGGGCAACACUCCAUUUUCUCUCUCCCACUGCUCCCAGUGCUGAAUCUCCCCCACAGCUUUCCGAAACUCCCCAGGCAGAUGCUCUUCACCCAAAUAGAAAACACCACAUUCAAGGCAAUUCCUCACUGUUGGCUCAAGCCUUGCCCUGCAGACCCAUCUCUGAACGAUCUGAUCCAUGAAGACCCAACAGGAGGAGCUUCAACUCCUUCGGGGCUGCGAGCACAGUGAGGUCUCUUCCUUUUCCCCACUUUCUGCUGGUUCAGAUGGGCAAAUCUCCUGGGAGCUGAGUCCCUCGGAGUGGUGCACAGGGGCACUUGUUUGUGGCUGGAGAGUGCAGCGAAAGCAAGCGUUAAUUCCACUUACAGGAUGAAAUUGGCAGGAGAGACACUGAAUUUUCCGUCCAGCUCUAAAGUGCUCUCAAAGUGAUCUAAUUUAUCACUGCGGCAGAGGCAGCAGCCAUUCAGAUGCUCUCCCAGCUCUCUGGCUUCGCAAUCAGGAGAUAAGAUGACUUCAUGUGAGCGGACGGGUCCAAAUUCUUUGUCUUUCUGCUUUUCUUGGGUCCUCACCAGAUCCUGCAGUCGCACUUGUGCCUCUCAGCUGCUGCUCCGUGAGUGGCUCUGGAGAUCUGGAUGUGGGGAUUUUAAUUGCCGUGGCUGCAUAGAAGAGAUGUCCAUCCAACAAACAGAGAGCAGCUUUGGACACAGACAGACAGUCGUGGGAUGGGAGAGGAUGGUAUUAACUAAAAGAAGGGAGAUUUGAGUCAGAUGUGAGCAAUUCCUUCCCCAAAAGCACUGAGACCCUGGGGCUGCUGCCCAGAGAAGUGUGGGUGCUCCAUCCUUGGAGGUGCCCAAGGCCAUGAAUGGGGCCCUGGGCAGCCUGAACUGGUGUGGGGCAGCCAGCCCAUAGCAGGGGGUAAUGGGGGUCCCUUUUGACCCAACCAUGCUGUGAUGUGAU
rnacentral:lncRNA from 1 species